rnacentral:tRNA from 1 species
CGGGAUGUGGCGCAGUAGGGAGCGCGCACCGUUCGGGACGGUGAGGUCGCAGGUUCGAGCCCUGUCAUCCCGA